rnacentral:rRNA from 1 species
CCUACGGGAGGCAGCAGUGAGGAAUAUUGGUCAAUGGCCGGAAGGCUGAACCAGCCAUGCCGCGUGAAGGUCAGUGCCCUAUGGGCGUUAAACUUCUUUUGUGCGGGAGCAAUAAUGGUCACGUGUGGCCAGACGAGAGUACCGUACGAAUAAGCAUCGGCUAACUCUGUGCCAGCAGCCGCGGUAAUACAGAGGUCUCAAGCGUUGUUCGGAAUCACUGGGCGUAAAGCGUGCGUAGGCUGUUUCGUAAGUCGUGUGUGAAAGGCGCGGGCUCAACCCGCGGACGGCACAUGAUACUGCGAGACUAGAGUAAUGGAGGGGGAACCGGAAUUCUUGGUGUAGCAGUGAAAUGCGUAGAUAUCACACAGAACACCGAUUGCGAAGGCAUCUUACUAAACUAUAACUGACACUGAAGCACGAAAGCGUGGGGAUCAAACAGGAUUAGAUACCCUGGUAGUC